GAUGAACGCUGGCGGCGUGCCUAAUACAUGCAAGUCGAGCGAACGGACGAGAAGCUUGCUUUUCUGAUGUUAGCGGCGGACGGGUGAGUAACACGUGGAUAACCUACCUAUAAGACUGGGAUAACUUCAGGAAACCGGAGCUAAUACCGGAUAAUAUUUUGAACCGCAUGGUUCAAAAGUGAAAGACGGUCUUGCUGUCACUUAUAGAUGGAUCCGCGCUGCAUUAUCUAGUUGGUAAGGUAACGGCUUACCAAGGCAACGAUGCAUAGCAGACCUGAGAGGGUGAUCGGCCACACGGGAACUGAGACACGGUCCAGACUCCUACGGGAGGCAGCAGUAGGGAAUCUUCCGCAAUGGGCGAAAGCCUGACGGAGCAACGCCGCGUGAGUGAUGAAGGUCUUCGGAUCGUAAAACUCUGUUAUUAGGGAAGAACAUAUGUGUAAGUAACUGUGCACAUCUUGACGGUACCUAAUCAGAAAGCCACGGCUAACUACGUG
rnacentral:rRNA from 1 species